AAAAUAUGUGAAAUAUCCCCAUCUUCGAUUCAUCUUGUUUCAGUAUUUGAAAAAUUCUCAUAUCUGAUAAUAAUGAAUAAUUGAGUGAUAAUUCUUACUUGUCCUGGACAUUGUGGCCUGAGAUUUGUACACAUUACGGGACAGGCUGGACCACACGGCCGAAAGCUAGCAUUUUCCGGACAGGGAGGAAGUCCACGUUGAGGUACCGCAUCUGUUGAAAUUAUUAAAACACUCAGACUCAAGUGAAAUUGAAAACUUCGAGUGAAAAACAUUGUUGAAAUAUUUAAAAAAUAAAAUGCGAUAGAGAAGCAUGGGGCAAUGGGGAACGCCUGCCUAUUUUGGCUUUUGGUGGUGAUAUAUUAACCCUCUAAUGACGAUGAGCUUCUCCGAUGAGGAGAAGGGACCACGCGCUCUUUUGGAGAAACAUCGAAGUGGGGACAAUCUUAACCGCAUUAGAAGGGUGACAAGGAAGUGAACAAGCUUUCCAAUUUGCGUCGCGUUCUACUUUGCCUCAUGCCUCCUUGGAUAAAACGUACAAGUGUAUGCGAACACGAGGAAUAUAGCGAGCAUGAAGAGAUUACGCAUCUUCAAGACUUUUCAAAUGAACUGGGUUGAAUUGUUGCAAAAGUCUCACACUCCAUCCUUAUAUACAAUUAUCGAUAGAAAAAAAAGAAGUCAUGGAAAAAAUAUCUCAUUGACGUAUGUUUGGUGAACAGUGAGAACGAUAAAUUGAAAUAAUUAUAUUCUACAGUGAUAAUCCAUUUGAUUUGGUUCUAUCAUGUCCAAUCAUCUCUUCAAUCAUCGCCAUUGAUGUCUGGAGAGAAUUUCAUGAAUCAGUCUUAUGGAAUGUGGAAAUACAAGCAUAAAGAACGGAAUUUGUUUUGUGGGGCAGGAAAAACUCAUGAAAUUCAUUCUGUUUGAUAUUCAUGUAUUAACCUAAAUGCAGUCAACAAAUAGAAGAAUACAUAAGACAAACAGAUUUUGCCAGAAACCCGGUGGCUUGGCGCAGUAGCCACGCAACCUGGAAGGCCCCCACGUUGCGCUGUCGGAUCAUCGUGGAGGACAUGUGGCCGUGCGUGCCCACGGACUUGUGCUAAUCGUAGACCAAUUUGUCCCGGAGCGCGCGGCCGAGCCGGAUGUUUCUGCAAUCGUGGCUGGAUUCGACGAAGCCGCAACGGUCCAUGUAUAAGAGAGAACACGUGUCCGCGUACUAGACCGUGAUCUGUGUCAGGUUUUUGUUCGAAAAAUUACGCAUUGGAGUAAAUGAGUCCUUGCAUCAAUAUAUAAGAGAAUUCAAUUGAUUUCGAGUUUUUCAUAUCUCAUUUUACUAAUAGGGGAAGAGAGAAUGUGACACUGGCACAUUGUUAUUUUUUAAAUUUUUAAUUCGGUUGUAAUUCCGUCACGGAUCUAGUUUCUGCCCCUGUAAAGACAUGAGAUCAAUGAGAAAUUCAUUAUUCUUUAUUCAAAAUUCCAAAUGAAGCAUAAGCAAAUACAAAGUUUGAUUAUCGUUCUAUUUUUUCUGAAUUUCUUUUAUUUGCUAGAUGAGAGAAUUAAUUAAAAUGAUGCUUCGAAAAAUAAUCGUUUAAAGCUCGAGAUUUUGCUGUGCUCGGGGGCAUCAGUUGCAGUUUCUGCAUCCACAAUCGAUCAACAGAAGAUAACAGAUUCAAACAGAGAAAGAACACAUGAAAUAAGAUGCUCAACGUCGUUGCCAACCAAACGCAACUUGGGGAUGCGGUGAUCCCUGUCCGGCAACCUGUCAGAACCGUAAUCCCAGCUGCAACAGAUUACACUGCGCGAGUAGGUGUUACUGUAAUCGCGGUUUCAUAGAACGAUGGUCGGGUGGUCCCUGCGUAAGAUCCUGCUGAAGAUGGUGACCUUCCUCAAUAUUCUGGAUAUUUAAACGCUAAUCGCUCAGGAAUACGAGUGUACUAGCUCAUGAAAAUUAUAAUAAAAGCUAUAUUUACUGCAACAAA